GUGGAUUAGAUACCCCAGUAGUCCUGGCAGUAAACGGUGCGCGCUUGGUGUGAGGGGAUUCGACCCCCCUCGUGCCGGAGCUAACGCGUUAAGCGCGCCGCCUGGGAAGUACGGUCGCAAGACUAAAACUCAAAGAAAUUGACGGGGACCCGCACAAGCGGUGGAGUAUGUGGCUUAAUUCGAUGCAACGCGAAGAACCUUACCAAGGCUUGACAUGCAUCUCUAAGCGCGUGAAAGCGCGUGACCCUUCGGGGGAUUUGCACAGGUGCUGCAUGGCCGUCGUCAACU
rnacentral:rRNA from 1 species